CAUGCAGUCGAGCGGUAAGGCCCUUCGGGGUACACGAGCGGCGAACGGGUGAGUAACACGUGAGCAACCUGCCCCUGACUCCGGGAUAAGCGGUGGAAACGCCGUCUAAUACCGGAUACGACCCGCCACCUCAUGGUGGAGGGUGGAAAGUUUUUCGGUCAGGGAUGGGCUCGCGGCCUAUCAGCUUGUUGGUGGGGUAACGGCCUACCAAGGCGAUUACGGGUAGCCGGCCUGAGAGGGCGACCGGCCACACUGGGACUGAGACACGGCCCAGACUCCUGCGGGAGGCAGCAGUGGGGAAUAUUGCGCAAUGGGCGAAAGCCUGACGCAGCGACGCCGCGUGGGGGAUGACGGCCUUCGGGUUGUAAACCUCUUUUACCACCAACGCAGGCCCGGAGUUUUCUUCGGGUUGACGGUAGGUGGGGAAUAAGGACCGGCUAACUACGUGCCAGCAGCCGCGGUAAUACGUAGGGUCCGAGCGUUGUCCGGAAUUAUUGGGCGUAAAGAGCUCGUAGGCGGCGUGUCGCGUCUGCUGUGAAAGACCGGGGCUUAACUCCGGUUCUGCAGUGGAUACGGGCAUGCUAGAGGUAGGUAGGGGAGACUGGAAUUCCUGGUGUAGCGGUGAAAUGCGCAGAUAUCAGGAGGAACACCGGUGGCGAAGGCGGGUCUCUGGGCCUUACCUGACGCUGAGGAGCGAAAGCAUGGGGAGCGAACAGGAUUAGAUACCCUGGUAGUCCAUGCCGUAAACGUUGGGCGCUAGGUGUGGGGACUUUCCACGGUUUCCGCGCCGUAGCUAACGCAUUAAGCGCCCCGCCU
rnacentral:rRNA from 1 species